GUUGACCUCGGAUCAGGUAGGGAUACCCGCUGAACUUAAGCAUAUCAAUAAGCGGAGGAAAAGAAACCAACAGGGAUUGCCUCAGUAACGGCGAGUGAAGCGGCAACAGCUCAAAUUUGAAAUCUGGCGCAAGCCCGAGUUGUAAUUUGUAGAGGAUGCUUCAGGGCAGCGGCCGGUCUAAGUUCCUUGGAACAGGACGUCAUAGAGGGUGAGAAUCCCGUAUGCGACCGGUUGGCACCCGUCACGUAGCUCCUUCGACGAGUCGAGUUGUUUGGGAAUGCAGCUCUAAAUGGGUGGUAAAUUCCAUCUAAAGCUAAAUACCGGCCAGAGACCGAUAGCGCACAAGUAGAGUGAUCGAAAGAUGAAAAGCACUUUGGAAAGAGAGUUAAAAAGCACGUGAAAUUGUUGAAAGGGAAGCGCAUGCAACCAGACUUGUCGGCGGUGUUCCGCCGGUCUUCUGACCGGUCUACUCGCCGCCGGCAGGCCAGCAUCAUCUGGGUGCGCCGGAUAAAGGCGUGGGGAAUGUAGCUCCUCGGAGUGUUAUAGCCCCGCGCACAAUACGGCGCCGCCCGGGUGAGGUCCGCGCUUCGGCUAGGAUGCUGGCGUAAUGGUUGUAUGCGGCCCGUCUUGAAACACGGACCAAGGAGUCUAACAUCUAUGCGAGUGUUCGGGUGUCAAACCCCUACGCGGAAUGAAAGUGAACGGAGGUGGGAAGCGCAAGCUGCACCAUCGACCGAUCCUGAUGUCUUCGGAUGGAUUUGAGUAAGAGCAUAGCUGUUGGGACCCGAAAGAUGGUGAACUAUGCCUAAAUAGGGUGAAGCCAGAGGAAACUCUGGUGGAGGCUCGCAGCGGUUCUGACGUGCAAAUCGAUCGUCAAAUUUGGGUAUAGGGGCGAAAGACUAAUCGAACCAUCUAGUAGCUGGUUC
rnacentral:rRNA from 1 species